CCGUCAAUUCAUUUAAGUUUCAGUCUUGCGACCGUACUCCCCAGGCGGCGAACUUAACGCGUUAGCUUCGACACUGAGCUCCGAGUUGAGCCCAACAUCCAGUUCGCAUCGUUUAGGGCGUGGACUACCAGGGUAUCUAAUCCUGUUUGCUCCCCACGCUUUCGUGCCUCAGCGUCAGUGCUGGUCCAGAGGGUCGCCUUCGCCACUGAUGUUCCUCCCGAUCUCUACGCAUUUCACCGCUACACCGGGAAUUCCACCCUCCUCUACCGCACUCUAGCUUCCCAGUAUCGAGUGCCAUUCCCAGGUUGAGCCCAGGGCUUUCACAUCCGACUUAAGAAACCGCCUACGCACGCUUUACGCCCAAUAAUUCCGAAUAACGCUUGCCCCCUCUGUAUUACCG
rnacentral:misc_RNA from 1 species